GAUGAACGCUGGCGGCGUGCCUAAUACAUGCAAGUCGAGCGAACAGACGAGGAGCUUGCUCCUCUGACGUUAGCGGCGGACGGGUGAGUAACACGUGUAUAACCUACCUAUAAGACUGGGAUAACUUCGGGAAACCGGAGCUAAUACCGGAUAAUAUAUUGAACCGCAUGGUUCAAUAGUGAAAGACGGUUUUGCUGUCACUUAUAGAUGGAUCCGCGCCGCAUUAGCUAGUUGGUAAGGUAACGGCUUACCAAGGCGACGAUGCGUAGCCGACCUGAGAGGGUGAUCGGCCACACUGGAACUGAGACACGGUCCAGACUCCUACGGGAGGCAGCAGUAGGGAAUCUUCCGCAAUGGGCGAAAGCCUGACGGAGCAACGCCGCGUGAGUGAUAAAGGUCUUCGGAUCGUAAAGCUCUGUUAUUAGGGAAAAACAAAUGUGUAAGUAACUAUGCACGUCUUGACGGUACCUAAUCAGAAAGCCACGGCUAACUACGUG
rnacentral:rRNA from 1 species